rnacentral:rRNA from 1 species
AGCGAACGUUGGCGGCGCGCUUAACACAUGCAAGUCGUACGAGAAAAGGGGCAACCCUGAGUAGAGUGGCGCACGGGUGCGUAACACGUAGGCAAUCUUCCCUCGGGAGGGGGAUAACCAUCCGAAAGGAUGGCUAAUACCGCGUAAGACCACGGCUGCUCCGGCAGCUGCGGUCAAAGAGGGCCUCUCCAUGGAAGCUCUCACCUGAGGACGAGCCUGCGGCCCAUCAGCUAGUUGGGAGGGUAACGGCCUACCAAGGCUAAGACGGGUAGCUGGUCUGAGAGGAUGAUCAGCCACACUGGCACUGAAACACGGGCCAGACUCCUACGGGAGGCAG